UUUGAUCAUGGCUCAGAUUGAACGCUGGCGGCAGGCCUAACACAUGCAAGUCGAGCGGCAGCGNGNAAAGUAGCUUGCUACUUUUGCCGGCGAGCGGCGGACGGGUGAGUAAUGCCUGGGGAUCUGCCCAGUCGAGGGGGAUAACAGUUGGAAACGACUGCUAAUACCGCAUACGCCCUACGGGGGAAAGGAGGGGACCUUCGGGCCUUUCGCGAUUGGAUGAACCCAGGUGGGAUUAGCUAGUUGGUGGGGUAAUGGCUCACCAAGGCGACGAUCCCUAGCUGGUCUGAGAGGAUGAUCAGCCACACUGGAACUGAGACACGGUCCAGACUCCUACGGGAGGCAGCAGUGGGGAAUAUUGCACAAUGGGGGAAACCCUGAUGCAGCCAUGCCGCGUGUGUGAAGAAGGCCUUCGGGUUGUAAAGCACUUUCAGCGA
rnacentral:rRNA from 1 species